UCUGGCAUCAUUCUGGUAAGAAAAGCAACCUGUAUUAAGAACAACCAUGUAAAUAAAAAACGAUUAUUCGUAGCUUGGAUCAGCUCAGUGACCUGAUUUCCAGCACAGCCCCAACAACAGUUGCAGAGCAGCAUGAGUGUGAAGAAGCAGCCGGAGGCAAGGCAGGGAUGGGAGACAGACGUUCCCAAGCUGGCCUUGCAGCUGAAGUCCCCCUUUGUGAAACCCCAGCUGCCAGCAUACCUUUGCUGAGGCACGGAUAGCAGAGGGAAUUCCCCUGCAGUGCCUGAAAUAACACCUUAGGGAAGAACUGACACAUCGGUGAGUUAUAUAUUAACCACUAUAGAUGACUUUUCAAAGAGUGGCAGGGGAACAAUCUCAUGGAAUUGCUGAUAAAGAAAAAUGGCAUUUUUUCCAUUAUGCAGAGCACGGCUACUAACUCCUAGGAAAAGACUGUCCAGCUCUUUCCACUAAAUUUUACUAUUUUCAGUUCUUCCAUACUUUCUUAAAUGUGAAUGAAUUGUUCAGAUGUUUUCAAUGCUAAAUAAAUACCUCUGGCUGUUUCUCGUGGGGAGCCGAGGGGAGAAGGCAGGAAAUGUUUUAGCUAAAAUUAUGCGGCCAUUUCCAAGGAAGUGUCAGAAAAGCAACAUACAAGUUUGCUUGAGUUAGUUACAGAAAAAAAUAAUCUUAGCAGUCAUUCAGCACUGUGCUCGCUUUUCCUUCCCGAGGUCUGACCUUGCUCUGCGUUCAGUGUUAUCGGAGAUCUGCUGCAAUGGAGUUUAUGUGCUUCUGUCACUUAGGACACAAAUGAAUUGCUUUAACUUAAGCUUAAAAGUGAAACCCUGCCAGAGAUGACAAUAUGAGUACUAUAUAUCGCCAGUUAAAUGACUAAUGAUUUAUUUGUCUUUGAAUCUUCUGGUGAAAGCUGAAGCAUAAUGGUGAAAGAAAAAAUAAUGGAAGUUACAUAACACCUCACAUAUGGAAUUGAUAAUGUUCUGGUUUUAUAUGGAAUAAGUUACUCUUCAGUGGUUAUACACAUAGAUAUAAUGAGGAUGAUUUCAUUUGGUGUCCAAUGUGUGCUGUGCAUAUAUUCAGGAGAUAAGGGAGAUUUAAACUUUUUGUCUGAAGAUGAGAUUUUUCACAGAAGAUCCUUCUUUUGGUCAAUAUAUUCCACUAUUUAAUGAAAAUAAACACUAGCCAUGUUUCAAUUCAAUUGUUCGGUUUUCAAGUGACAUUUUUUGACCUUCAAAACCACAAAAAUUAUCCUUGUUUUAGACCAAAACAUCAUCUUUUUGAUUUGAAAAAAAAAAUCUUAAAUUUUUUUUCAUAUAACUUCUUACUUCAGUAGUAGUAUAUUUGCUUCAAAUUGUAUAUUUGAAAUUUAAUUGUAUGAAAUUUAGGUAGCCAUAGGCUUUAAGCACCUUUACAUAAUUAAUAAUAUAAACUAAACUAAUGUCCUUGUGAUCUUUCUAUCAGGAACUCAGCUAGACAAGCACCUACAGAGACUUUUUUCCACUCCAUCAUUACGGGAAGCAUACUCUGCACUUGACAAGGUGAAAUAAGAAUGUAUUCAGGUAACAAAAGGCUGGUAAUAAACACCAAUCAGCACAGGAGAGUUGAGGGUAGGGCACAUUCAGAGCAGGAUGUUGCUCAAAUGUGUUUGGGGAGGGAAGGACUGACAGGGGGUGCUUAUCCACCCCUUAGAGGUGCUACGCUUCAUGUGGAUCAGGGUUAUCCUGGGGUGCAGAGGCUGCAUCUCCUUUCCUCUCACCCAGACCUUUUCAAGAAAAGAGAGGCAUGAGUAAAGGAGAAGAAGAUGAAUCAUUUCACUUAAAUAACUGGUGCCGUGGCAGCCAAGGAGGCAAUCUGUGACAGAGAAAAGAGGUGAAAGGCAAAAAGGGGUAGCCAGGAUUAGGUUGAAAGAAAGACUAAGCAAAAGCAGAGAGAGAAACACUGAGACAAAGGCUUAGCCCGGGGAUGAGUGAUGCAGAGUUUCUAUGAAACUGGUAGAAUCCAGAAUAUAAGUAUGCUUAGCGCUAGUGUGACGGUUAUGUUUGAAUGCAAGGGCAUUUGUAUGUGUACUAGCGUUGCAGAUAUUGAACAUCUUUAAGCUGGUGCCAGAGGUCUGUCACAUACGUCAAUCUUGGAAUUGCUGCCAGUUUUCUGAGUACAGCGUGUCCAAGUGAUUAUUACAUGAGACUGUGGUUAGAAGCAUGCAAAAUGAGUUGCGAGUAAGUUAUACUUUUAUCUGAUGUUUGGGCUCUAAGAAAAGGGGAAAGAGAUGUAAGUCUUGCAUGUGACAGUUUUGAUCAGUCCCUUCAGAAAAAAAAAUUUCUUUGUACUUGUCCAUAAAUUAAACUCUCUUUGUGAUGAAAAGGCAGCAACAUCCAUUUCCACUUGUUGGAAAUGUUUUGUAUGCAGGCUUUGGCAACAUCUUUCUCCUCACAGGAAGAAGCCUGUAAGAAAUCCCAGCGUUACCUUUCAGAUGGUUAUGCCAUCACACUACUCUAUUGCACCACCAGGGCGUUGCAAAGAAUGAAUGCCUUAACGAUGUGGAGCUACCCAAACCUAAAAAGGCUUGGGAGCGGCAUAUUCUUUACUGUACGCAUGACCUCAUCUUAAAAGGAAGAUUAUCUUUUGCAUACUUAAGAUGAUGGAAAGUUGGGAGGAGCUGUUAUAAAUUUCAUUUCAGCAGCAAUAUGGUUCAAAUAAGAAAAAAUACAUUGUUGUCAUCACCCUCUUUGCCAGUUCUACCUGUAACUGUUCUUUUUUAUUUUGGAAGAGGCAAUCACCACAAAAAUCAGGAUGAACAAAUUUCUCACAUAUGUGCCAAGGCAACAUCAAAAUUUCGGAAUGCAGAGCAGCUGGUGUUGCUACGUGGGCUACUCAGCAGGGUCGUGAAGAUGGUGCUCUGGGCUGGAUGCAGGCACCUGUGACGGCAGGGCAGAGGAGGGAGCUGCCAGGCACUGCCAGCAGCCAGCCCUGGUGUCAGACUUAUGCAAAGUAUGACUAAAACAAUGUCACUGCUGAAUACAAAAUUCCCCCAUUUCUUUCUUGCUUUAAUGAGAAGAGCACUACAGAUGUGGGGAUAGGGACAAAAGUAGCCAGUAUUUCCUCUCCUCUCCCUCUCUCCAUGCUAAUCAGCCGUGCUCAUGGGAUGCUGGCUAAUCCCUCUGGCUUCUGAACGGAGAAAAGAAGAUGCUUCUCUUUCAAGUAACUAAUGAAUCACCCCUUUUAGUACACAGCAUGCAUGACUGCAUUGUUAAAAGCAGUCUUAAUCACUCACUGAGAAAAAUUAUAUCGAUCAUUUCUCCCUUUUAGUUGUUAACUGGAAGCCUCUGGAGUUGUGACUCAUAGCCUGUGUGCUCUGGCAAGCCCAGAAAGACUUCAGUAGAUUUUUAGGUAGUUAUAGGACUCCCCUGCAUCUUAUUUCUCUCAUCUUCCUGCUAUGGCUAUAAUUUGGGAAAAAUGAUAAAUUUAUUGGUUUCAUCCCUUUUUAGGAAUCACUGUUCUGCAGAUGGAUUUGGCCUGAACUUUACAUAAAAGUUCAAAAAAGAGAAGCAUUUUUGGUAGGCAACUGACUUCUAGCAGGGAAUAGUGCAAAACUACUCCUGGGCUGGAGGAAACCUACCCUCCAUUUUGCCUUUAGCUCUGUAGCGGUGUUGGACAAGCCACACAUGCAGCAGUUCAUCCUGGUUUACAAGGGUAGGACUCUGUGUCAACAGGACAGUGAAAUAAGGAAAAAGAAGUAAUAAGAGUAAAUUUGAAGGUUUUUGACAGCUUCCUGGAAAGAGGGUGAAUUGGUCUGAGGUAAGGAAUAAAUUCUGUUGUUGACAAGGAAUUGCCAAGGGCAGAGCAAAGUGAGUACACAAAAAGUUUUCAAUGUGACAUGGGAAAAAAUAUAUCUGUGGUUGUUUAAAUGUAGACAGAUAUACUGGUAGAUGUACUUGUGUAUUAAUUCCAUAAAAAAAUACUAGACUGAAAGUUGUUACCAACACUGAAUGGUCAAGUUUUCAAGUGGUGGAGAAUGCCAAAGUUAAGAGACUCUAUACCCCCUUAAAUCAGUACUUCUGUGUAUGUAUGUUUAUUAUACGAGUAUAAUAUGAUUGAAUUUUGUUAAUACAUCCAACUUCUUUACUGAAAGAAGCAUGAAGCAUGUUUGUUGUUACCAGUGCUUUCUGUUAUUUCCCCUAAAUAGCCCUUCUUGUUCACUCUGUGGAGACCUUCCCCAUGUGCUCCUCCAGUUCUGAUGCUACAUGACGUUGCUGAUCAGCAGGUCCUCUGCUGUCCCACCACAGCCUUCCUUUAGCUGCUGGAAAACGGACUUAACUUCUGCUGUGAGCAGACACUUAGGAGGCAGGGGAAAGAGGGGAAAAAAGGCACAUUGAAAAAAAGUGGUUGCUUGUGUAACGAUUGUGUAACAAUGCUAAAAAUGCAUGCAUUACAAGACUUCAUCAUGUUUGAAUGUAGCUGGGAGCAAAGGUGAUGUAAAACAACACUGAUCUGCUGAGUGGUCAGGGUGGAGAGAAGAAAACUGUUUUCCAGGAGAUGCCUGCAUGCUGAGAACGUGAUAUGUCCUUGCCUACUUUGUCUGCUAAAUUGAGGUUGGUGAUAUGACAUCUCAGUGAUUUGUUGGGUGCUGUUCAACCAUCACAGUUUUUUGUAACAGAAGGCGUAAUACCCUCAGUCACCUGAGGUCCACAGCAAACAGGUCUCCUCAAAGAGACCGAGUUCAUCCACAGUGGCUAAUGACCUUUUCUUUUAUCAGAAGGCCUUUCUGGCAGCUCAAGAUCUAUUCUCAGGGGAAAGGACAGAAAAGAGAACUGGUUCAGCAUAGGAUUAGGAUCCGCUUGCAUGCUGCCCAGAUGCAGUUAAGUAUUUUUUAUUUGCUGCUGUGAAACAUCAGCCAUAAAGCUACGUGUAAUCUACUAAUUAAAUGCAAAAUGCUAAGGACACUGGGGAUAAACAUCAAAAAAUCUCAAGAUAAAUGGUAUAUUAAAACAUGCUUCAAAAAGGGACUAGUGAUCACCAUGUAAUCUGCCCUUUGGGCUGUGCUGGUAGAGAUGGAAGGGUUGGUUGGCUCAGAGAUCCUCUGCUUUAGCAGGGACUGCUGAUACAUAUUUGCCUCAUCAGAGGAUAAUAGUUUUCUUUCAGCACCUUUGGCUUUUUGCUUCUUUGGCUGCCAUUGCUGCAAAAAGUAUUGCUGUCAGCUGUAGGUCUUAGAAAUAUCCUUUGGCAUAUGGAAAGGAAAUGGGAUUUAUUCGGUGACAGAGUCUCACUCCCCUGGCAGGUUGCUUGAUGGACGUGGUCACUUGAUGAAGGCAUGCUGCCAUGGGGGGACAGCCCCUGGGAUCUGCCGUUGUGUCAGCUCAGCUCUCAGAGAAACACAUCAACUGCUGUGGAGGAAGCAGACGCUCCCAGUGGUAUCACAGAGAAAGAACAGACAGCAACACAUUUGGGAAGAAGGGCAUGCUGAAGAGCCCAGCAACUCUGCAUUUGAUCCCACGUAUGUGAACAGGCUGGCACAGGUCUCCGUGUGAGACCUCAGAGUGGAGCCCUUGCAUUGUGCAGCUGAGGAACUCGCUCUGGUUCCCACACUCAACCAGGUCCUCUGCUGUGGCCUCACACACCUCUCUGACAGGGCCAGGCUAUAAAAUGACUGUCUUGUACAAACUGGCUGUGGACGUCAUGUUGCUGGACAGCUGAGAAAUGAUACAGCAGCAGAUGACCCUCACCCCCUUCCUAAAGACAAAUGAUGUUUUUAACCUUAUAUUUUUGCGAUUACACUGCAAUUUUGUGACUACACUACACAGGCUUAAAAGAAAGGAUUUUUAUACAAAUCAGAAUUGUCCAAUUGCUUACCAAAAAAGACUUUAUUAUUCACUAUAGCAAAUCUCUAUGGUUGGUCAGAAAUGUCUAAUAUGAAAAAAUAUGCCAACUUCAAACAGUACAGCUGAUUUUCCAUUUCUUGCUCAUCCAAGUCAACUCAUGAAGAGAUUUUGGUGCACUAAACACAUAUUCUAGCCAAGUAUUUUAACCACUGCUGAGACAUUUUGCAGGUUGGACGGUUUUAAUCGGUUUUGUAAUCUUUAAUCUUAAAAGGCCUUUUCUUUAGAGGGUGCUUUUUCUUGCUGAUUUAGUUCAAAAACUUUUUGAGGCAGUGAUUGCCCAUGCUGUAGACUUCUACAUCAUUUCUUUUACAUCCAGUUUUGGAGGAGCCAUUUCAGUAUCAUGAUAAUGCCAAGCAGGAAAUAAAGAGUGAAUGCUUUUUUUCUGAGCAUAUGUGUCACUGGCAUUGCUCUCGCCACGACAGCUAACAGCCAUCUAAGAAAAGACAGGUAUAGAGGCCAGGCUGUGGGUACAUGGCCUGGUAAAUCUGGCUUUGGAGUAUUUAAUGGUGGAUC